GACGAACCGUGCGAGCGUUGUUCGGAAUCACUGGGCUUAAAGGGCGCGUAGGCGGGCUGUCAAGUCUGGUGUGAAAUGCCGCGGCUCAACCGUGGAACUGCCUUAGAUACUGACGGCCUCGAGGGAGGUAGGGGCGUGCGGAACUGUAGGUGGAGCGGUGAAAUGCGUUGAUAUCUAGAGGAACUCCGGUGGCGAAAGCGGCGCGCUGGACCGCUUCUGACGCUGAGGCGCGAAAGCUAGGGGAGCAAACGGG
rnacentral:rRNA from 1 species